rnacentral:rRNA from 1 species
AGUGAACGCUGGCGGUAGGCCUAACACAUGCCAGUCGAACGGCAGCACAGUAAGAGCUUGCUCUUACGGGUGGCGAGUGGCGGACGGGUGAGGAAUACAUCGGAAUCUACUUUUUCGUGGGGGAUAACGUAGGGAAACUUACGCUAAUACCGCAUACGACCUACGGGUGAAAGCAGGGGAUCUUCGGACCUUGCGCGAUUGAAUGAGCCGAUGUCGGAUUAGCUAGUAGGCGGGGUAAAGGCCCACCAAGGCGACGAUCCGUAGCUGGUCUGAGAGGAUGAUCAGCCACACUGGAACUGAGACACGGUCCAGACUCCUACGGGAGGCAGCAGUGGGGAAUAUUGGACAAUGGGCGCAAGCCUGAUCCAGCCAUACCGCGUGGGUGAAGAAGGCCUUCGGGUUGUAAAGCCCUUUUGUUGGGAAAGAAAAGCAGCAGGUUAAUACCCCGCUGUUCUGACGGUACCCAAAGAAUAAGCACCGGCUAACUUCGUG